GACGAACGCUGGCGGCGUGCUUAACACAUGCAAGUCGAACGGAAAGGCCCUGCUUUUGUGGGGUGCUCGAGUGGCGAACGGGGGAGUAACACGUGAGUAACCUGCCCUUGACUUUGGGAUAACUUCAGGAAACUGGGGCUAAUACCGGAUAGGAGCUCCUGCUGCAUGGGGGGGGUUGGAAAGUUUCGGCGGUUGGGGAUGGACUCGCGGCUUAUCAGCUUGUUGGGGGGGUAGUGGCUUACCAAGGCUUUGACAGGUAGCCGGCCUGGGAGGGUGACCGGCCACAUUGGGACUGAGAUACGGCCCAGACUCCUACGGGAGGCAGCAGUGGGGAAUAUUGCACAAUGGGCGGAAGCCUGAUGCAGCAACGCCGCGUGCGGGAUGACGGCCUUCGGGUUGUAAACCGCUUUCGCCUGUGACGAAGCGUGAGUGACGGUAAUGGGUAAAGAAGCACCGGCUAACUACGUG
rnacentral:rRNA from 1 species